AAUAGGCUAAAAGUGAAUAAUUAUAAGAUCAAAAAUAAAAUACAGAUAAAUACAAUGAAAAUAAAUACAUAUGAACAUAAAGCAUAUGAUAACAUUUCUGGAUCCCAAUGCAUUUUAGAUGUUUAGGGUUUUUAUCGUGGAUUAGAAAGUGUUUUGAUACUGAAUGAUUUGGGUAUCCUCCGAUUUUAUUUUGACAGUGUUCAG